rnacentral:rRNA from 2 species
UUAAAUUGAAGAGUUUGAUCAUGGCUCAGAUUGAACGCUGGCGGCAGGCCUAACACAUGCAAGUCGAACGGUAACAGGAAGCAGCUUGCUGCUUCGCUGACGAGUGGCGGACGGGUGAGUAAUGUCUGGGAAACUGCCUGAUGGAGGGGGAUAACUACUGGAAACGGUGGCUAAUACCGCAUAACGUCGCAAGACCAAAGAGGGGGACCUUCGGGCCUCUUGC